rnacentral:sRNA from 1 species
AACCAAGAUGGAAAUUAUCAGAGCAGACCAGCACCUAGCCAGAAUGGGUAUUAUCCAGAACCAAGACAAGUAAAUCAAUCUCAGAACCAGGGAAACUGUUAGAGGCUGUAACUGGGGGUCUAGAUACAGCACUUAAUUUCGAACGACCCACAAACUUUAAUGGAAUGUACAUAACAGUAAAAAUACAUGACACAGUAUUAGAAGCGCUAGUUGAUACUGGUGCAACUUGUACUAUCAUUCACCCAAAGAUAUAUGCAAAUUUAGCCCAAAUGUACAAUUUAUCCUUAAAAUCAGAAGGCCAUUCCAAUUUAAAGGCAGCAGACGGUAAACCCAUCAAAACUGAGGGUAUCAUAGAACUAGAUAUAAUGAUUGGUAGAUACAAAUACCGACCUAAAGUAAUUAUUGCGGAUGUUGAAGUGCCUAUGGUGAUUGGUUUAGAUUUUCUACAUGCCAAUAAAGCUCAGAUAGACAUUAUUAGUCCCUCGAUUCUGUUACAUGGAGAAAAGGUAGUCUGUGAGUUGAAGAACAAAUCACCAUCAGUAUACAAAAUACAGUUAGCACAAGAUACGACAAUACCUCCUGACAGCGAGCUAAUCGUAGAAUGUACAGUUGAUUGUAAGCCAUCAGAUUUCAGCACGGCUAUGGUAGAAACAUCAAAUGACGCUUGGCAAAAACAAGGUGUUCUUGUUGGUAAAACAUUGGUUGAUCUCAAUAAUGACUUCAUACCAGUACGGGUGAUAAACAUAACUGAUAAACCGGUGAAAUUGUAUAAGAAUACAACAGCAGGUCUGAUUGAACCUGUUGAGAUUGUACCGUCGGAAGAUUUAAAUGGCCAGUAUCACAGCAUCUGUACUGGUAU